rnacentral:lncRNA from 1 species
GUACGAAAACACCGAUUUACGUCUGAAUGCAGAUUCGGAAAGAUCAGAACUUAGAAACUUGUUCGUAAAAGCGCAGAGAGCAGUAGCUAUGUAGGAGGUUUGCAGUAAUGAUAAAGUGCUCAAAAUAAAAGCAAACCAGAGAUUUAGAGUGGUUCGGUCAGUCUUGACCUACUCCACUUUUGGCUUCCUCCACCGACGAGGUCACC